CGCCCAACAGCUAGCCCACCUAAACAAAUUCAACAAGCCCCUGUCAAUAACCACUAAAUACCCCAGUAUUUAAAUUAAACAAACCAUUUUUCCCCCUUAGUAUAGGCGAUAGAAAAGGGACUUACGGCGCAAUAGAGAAAGUACCGCAAGGGAAUGCUGAAAGAGAAGUGAAACAACCCAGUAAAGCCUAAAAAAGCAGAGAUUUAAGCUCGUACCUUUUGCAUCAUGAUUUAGCGAGUGUACCUCAAGCAAAGGGUACUUUAGUUUGACGUCCCGAAACUACGUGAGCUACUCCAAGACAGCCUAUUAAUAGGGCACACCCGUCUCUGUGGCAAAAGAGUGGGAAGAGCUUUGAGUAGAGGUGACAAACCUACCGAACCUAGUUAUAGCUGGUUGUCCAAGAAAUGAAUAGAAGUUCAGCCUCUUGGCUUCUCUUUUCACCCUAGAUUAACCCCUUCUGAUGCAUUAAAGAAACCGACAGAGUUAGUCAAAGGGGGUACAGCCCCUUUGAAUCAAGACACAACUUUACCAGGAGGGUAAAGAUCAUA
rnacentral:rRNA from 1 species